rnacentral:rRNA from 1 species
GGUAUCCUGACCGUGCUAAGGUAGCAUAUAAUACGCCCUUUAAUUGUGGGCUAGAAUGAAUGGAUAAACGAAAGUUAAGCUGUCUCUAAAAUAAUACUAUAAAUUUACCUUCAGGUGAAGAGGCCUGAAUCAACCUAAAAGACAAAAAGACCCCGUAGAGCUUAAUUAAAUCUAAUAUAAAUAAAAAAUAUAUUAUAUUUUUAUUUAUAAUUAGUGUAAUUUAACUGGGGCGGUUAAGGAGCAAAAACCCUCCUUUUUAUAAACAGGUUCCCAACCAUUACAUGAUCCUAUACAGAUUAAAGAAAAAAGCUACCUCGGGGAUAACAGGCUAAUAUCUUUUGAGAGUACAUAUCGAAAAAGAAGUUUGGCACCUCGAUGUUGGCUUAGGAAAA